CAGUAACUAGCAGCAUGGGGUGCGUGCCUCCACUGAUAAGUGCGCUGCUGCGCAGCCAAGUUACUCAGGCUGGUGGUGAGAGUGAAGCCUACGAACGACACGCGGAGGAUGCCAAUCAGCACUACCAAUAAACAGCGGUCCCCAAGAACUGGUGUCUCCAUGUGGUAUCACUGAAAACUAUGCAGAUAAAUUAUAUCCAUUCGUACCAGCUGGAGCUUUGAAGCAGGAGGAUGGUGUUACUCAAAGCUGGGGAGUGUGGUGGCACAUCCCAGAAGUGGCUGCAUGGGAAAAAUGUUUUUUGUUU